rnacentral:rRNA from 1 species
GUUGAACGCUGGCGGCAGGCCUAACACAUGCAAGUCGAGCGGAUGAAGGGAGCUUGCUCCUCUAUUCAGUUACGGACGGACGAGUAAUGCCUAGGAAUCUGCCUGGUAGUGGGGGAUAACGUCCGUAAACGAGCGCUAAUACCGCAUACGUCCUGAGGUAGAAAGUCGGGGAUCUUCGGACCUCACGCUAUCAGAUGAGCCUAGGUCGUAUUAGCUAGUUGGUGUGGUAAAGGCCUACCAAGGCGACGAUCCGUAACUGGUCUGAGAGGAUGAUCAGUCACACUGGAACUGAGACACGGUCCAGACUCCUACGGGAGGCAGCAGUGGGGAAUCUUCCGCAAUGGGCGAAAGCCUGAUGGAGCCACGCCGCGUGUGUGAAGAAGGUCUUCGGAUCGUAAAGCACUGUAAGUUGGGAGGAAGGGAAGUAAGUUUAACUCUUGCUGUCUUGACGUUACCAACAGAAAAAGCACCGGCUAACUUCGUG